rnacentral:lncRNA from 1 species
GCCGGGGGAUAUUUUAUACCCAACAUAUGCUAUGACAUGUAUGAGACUGAACAUUACCUAUUCACUAAGGGUAAUGAGCACAUAUCAGUUUGAUCUGGAUGAGAACCAUUGGAAGGUUGCAAGAAUCAUCUUUAAGUAUUUGAGAAAUACUGACUAAUUGCUUAUUUAUGGAGAAUCUGACUUAAUACUUAUGAAAUUUAAAU